UACAGAGGGGGCAAGCGUUAUUCGGAAUUAUUGGGCGUAAAGGGCGCGUAGGCGGCAUGGCAAGUGGAAGGUGAAAUCCCUCGGCUUAACCGAGGAACUGCCCUCCAAACUGCUUUGCUUGAGGCCGGGAGAGGUGAGUGGAAUUCCCAGUGUAGCGGUGAAAUGCGUAGAUAUUGGGAGGAACACCAGUGGCGAAGGCGGCUCACUGGACCGGUUCUGACGCUGAGGCGCGAAAGCUAGGGGAGCAAACAGG
rnacentral:rRNA from 1 species